UACGUAGGGGGCAAGCGUUGUCCGGAUUCAUUGGGCGUAAAGGGCUCGUAGGCGGUUUGUCGCGUCGGGAGUGAAAUCCACUGGCUUAACUGGUGGCUUGCUUUCGAUACGGGCGGACUGGAGGUAUGCAGGGGAGAACGGAAUUCCUGGUGUAGCGGUGAAAUGCGCAGAUAUCAGGAGGAACACCGGUGGCGAAGGCGGAUUCUCGUGGGCAUGUCCUGACGCUGAGGAGCGAAAUGUGUGGGGAGCGAACAGGAAUAGAGUACCCGUGGUAAGUCCGAUGACCAAGUCCUCGUGCUAACCGUAAC
rnacentral:rRNA from 1 species